rnacentral:rRNA from 1 species
UGGGGAAUAUUGGACAAUGGGCGAAAGCCUGAUCCAGCCAUGCCGCGUGAGUGAUGAAGGCCCUAGGGUUGUAAAGCUCUUUCGACGGGGAAGAUAAUGACGGUACCCGUAGAAGAAGCCCCGGCUAACUUCGUGCCAGCAGCCGCGGUAAUACGAAGGGGGCUAGCGUUGCCCGGAAUUACUGGGCGUAAAGCGCACGUAGGCGGGUCGGUAAGUCUGGGGUGAAAUCCUGGAGCUCAACUCCAGAACGGCCUUGGAUACUGGCGAUCUCGAGUCCGGGAGAGGUGAGUGGAACUCCGAGUGUAGAGGUGAAAUUCGUAGAUAUUCGGAAGAACACCAGUGGCGAAGGCGGCUCACUGGCCCGGUACUGACGCUGAGGUGCGAAAGCGUGGGGAGCAAACA